rnacentral:rRNA from 1 species
GAUGAACGCUGGCGGCGUGCCUAAUACAUGCAAGUCGAGCGAACGGACGAGAAGCUUGCUUCUCUGAUGUUAGCGGCGGACGGGUGAGUAACACGUGGAUAACCUACCUAUAAGACUGGGAUAACUUCGGGAAACCGGAGCUAAUACCGGAUAAUAUUUUGAACCGCAUGGUUCAAAAGUGAAAGACGGUCUUGCUGUCACUUAUAGAUGGAUCCGCGCUGCAUUAGCUAGUUGGUAAGGUAACGGCUUACCAAGGCAACGAUGCAUAGCCGACCUGAGAGGGUGAUCGCACACACUGGAACUGAGACACGGUCCAGACUCCUACGGGAGGCAGCAGUAGGGAAUCGUCCGCAGUGGGCGAAAGCCUGACGGAGCAACGCCGCGUGAGUGAUGAAGGUCUUCGGAUCGUAAAACUCUGUUAUUAGUGAAGAACAUAUGUGUAAGUAACUGUGCACAUCUUGACGGUACCUAAUCAGAAAGCCACGGCUAACUACGUG